ACUAGCAUUCAAGCAUGACAUUUGUAUCUUACUAUUUACUAGGUAUUCAAGUAUAACAUUUGUAUCUUACUAUUUACUAGGUAUUCAAGUGUGACAUUUGUAUCUUACUAUUUACUAGCAUUCAAGCAUGACAUUUGUAUC